rnacentral:rRNA from 1 species
UACGGAGGGUGCGAGCGUUGUCCGGAAUCAUUGGGCGUAAAGGGCGCGUAGGCGGCUUGGCAAGUGGAUGGUGAAAUCCCUCGGCUUAACCGAGGAACUGCCAUCCAGACUGCUUUGCUUGAGGCCGGGAGAGGUGAGUGGAAUUCCCAGUGUAGCGGUGAAAUGCGUAGAUAUUGGGAGGAACACCAGUGGCGAAGGCGGCUCACUGGACCGGUUCUGACGCUGAGGCGCGAAAGCGUGGGGAGCAAACGGG